UUUAACAGUCCAGGUGUCAAGGGCAAAGGGACCCAAUCCGGCAGAAGACAAAGAUCCUAUAUUUGAACGUGGCUCUACCACAACCUACUCAAGCUUUAGGAAGGGCAGCUACACCAAACCCUGGUCCAGCGGAGAUCAGACGUCAGUCAAAACGCACCUCUUAAUCCAACAUGUGUUAUACAUUUCAUUUAUAUAGGAUCCUUUCUUUGACUAUUCCAGAGACUGAAAUGUUUUACUUGGCCAUCAGCAUGGUGGGGACAGACUUCUCCAUGACUGGUCAGCUGUUUCCACACCGAGCUCGAAAAGAGAUUAAGUAUGUAAUGAGAUCAACAAUCAAGCGGCCCUUACUCUUCUGACCAUCGGGAACCCAGCUCAGAUGAUCCAGACAUCAGAAAUGCCCUGUACAAGUGGAAAUGAUAUUGUUGUACAUGAAGAGGUCGUCCAUGAGGAAGAUAUCACAGAAACAGCCAUCAUGUCUAGUUCUUCUGUAAGCUGUGAGUCUGAGACAAAAGGUGACGUUGAAUUUUCGAACUGUGAAACUCAUAUUCCAGAACCUUCUGCUGAAGAAACCAUCAUCCAGAAAGAAGAACCAAUCAAAUUACAGACAACUGAUCUCAUCCUGCUCCCAUUCAACAUGAUACACAGUCUCCACCAAGUAAAAGAGGACGAUACUCCAAACCCAAACCCAAUAUUAGUCAGUGUUUGAGAACCAGAUGAGCUCCACAGCAGCAGAUCUCUCCAGAACUUGUCACAGGUUCUUUGGGGACCUCUAAGUGUCCGUCUUCCACAGAACAGGAUAAAAAUCCAAUGCAAGAAGAUUGUGUUCCUGUGGAUCACCUGCCAGAUUCCUUUACCAUCCGCCCUGAGAGAAAGGAUGAUGAUAUAAUCACAGAGGAAGAUAUAAAAGAACAAGAAGGGUUGGGAUCAGAACCACAGCUGACUAAAAGUGUGAACGAGUCUCAGAGCACAUCAGUUGAGUCCUCUAAACCUGUCAGGAGGCACUGUAGACUCAAACCUCAACCAAACCUGACUCAGACAUCCAGACGCAGCAGCACAUCAACCACAGCAGGUAACAGCCACCUUUAUGAUUUAUAUAACUUUUUAAUAUUGACAUUUGCUUAUAAAUGUUUUGUAUUCACAUUUUUUAUAAUGUCAUUCUCAUUUUCGUUACUGUGAUAUGAUUGUUAAAAAACAAGAAAAAACAAGCAGAAAUUAACAUAAUACCAUGUAUAAAUUAUUGUAACUUUUUUUAAUAAGAUGUAUUUUUUUGUGAUUAUAGCUGUAGAUGCUUUUUAAACGUUCAAAAUUUGUUUAAUAGCUAGAAUUUUUUUUAAUUUUUUUUAUGAAAUUUAUUUAUUCAUUUAUUUAUUUUUGUAAUAUAUAUGAUUUUUUUAUUAGAAUUUACAUGAUUGUUUAAAUAAUAAUAACAAUAAUAAUAAAAACUUGAAAUCUGUGUUAGUUUUACUAUAAAUUAUAUAUUUUCCAGUAUUUUAAAAUUACUUAUAAAAAUAUGUUUGUAAUCAUCCAGUCUUUUUAGAAUAUUGUUUAAUAUUGUGUAAAUGUGCUUUAAUGUCGCAAAAAUAAUGAUUGACAAUUGAAUUAAAAUCAAAUCCAAAUUAUUAUGCAACAUAUAAGUUAGUAAUUUAUUUAUCAAAAUCAUCCGCUGCUCAGGCUUCCAUGAACACUUUCACUGAAAGUGCUGAAGAGGAUUCUGUAUUUACCACAGAACUUUACGUAUCCAAAAGUGCAGCUCAACAAGGAGCAUCAAGCAUUGAAUCAGCAGAGGUAAAAUAUCUGUUAAAUACUGUUAAACCUCAUCGGCAUACACUCAGAUAUUUCAGCUUUUAUUCUCACUUUCUAUAUUUGUAUUAAUAAAACCGGAUUUGAUCUUUCUCUACUCGUGCAGAACUCAGAUGAAGAACCCACAAGUGUCUCCAAAUACUUCUUAAGUGACAUCUUUACUGAAGUUGAUGAACUAGAAGACAUGGAUUUAGGCCAAAGGUUGGAAUUACAAACCAGUCACAACUAACUAAACAGUCAGAAAUAUAGUUUGACAUAAGUUGGAUGUAUAGACAUCUGAAUAUUUGGAAGGGCACUUCUACCAAGAAGAGCCACAACUGAAGAGAUGCAGCAAAAACGUACCUCAGUAAUAGCUGACAUAAUGUCUUUUAUGUCAUUAUAAUUUUAUUUAAGGAUAAAUAAGUAUUAAUUCAGUUAAGUUUUUGUUACUGUUGCACUCUUUUGUUAUGUAAAGUUGUAUUAUAAUUCAUGUCUGAUCUGAGCCUAACUGAAUUUUUUAUUUAUUUAUUUGGUCUCGACCUGCAUUUUAUUUCCAGUUAUGAAUUAGGAACGUUAAUUUCUCUCACAGUAAGUGAUUUUUCUUUUAUUAUUUAUUCAUCUUUUUUAAGAGCAGCUUUGAAACAAACCUCUAUUUUAAAUAUGCACUGUCCUGUUUUUAGCUCCAUGCUGUCUGCGUGUUGUAUUUUAGCAUUGCUCCACAUUAUUUGUAGCAAUUUAGAUUUCAACUUUUAACCUUUGUUCAGUUUUAUGCUCUUCAUAUUUGUUUUUCAUAGUUGUGUCUCAAGCAAAUGUUUUACUUGUGUUUGUAAAUAUGUUAAUAAAAAUGUACAGUAUGUUUGUAAAGGUUGAAUUUUACAUUUGUUUCCAUCUGUCUGAUUAUAUGAGAAAUAAUUUAUAUUUAUAAAUGACAAAUUUGAUGAUUUAGAUUCAACGUUUUUAAUAAUAGUCACUUAUUUUUUUAGCUACCUUGUAUGCAUGCAUGAAUGAAUAACGUACUUUAAUUGAACAGAAAUGUUACAUAGAUUAGCAAUUAAAGGGAUAGUUCAACCAAAAUGAAAAUUCUGUCAUUUAUUACUCACCCUCUUGUUUACAAGCAGAGGAAUGCACACUGAUGGACUAUUUACACACAUUAUUUUAACUGUCUUUUAUCUUUUUGGGCAUUGGACAUGGUAGUUGUGUUUCUGUCUAUGCCGGGUCAGAAAGCUCUCCGAUUUCACCAAAAAUACAUUAAUUUGUGUAAAAGAUUUUGGAAAAAAAUCCAAGUCCAGGCACUCAAUAGGAUGCAAAAGUAAAAAAGCCUUUAAUGGUUGGGCUAAAGCAUUAAAACACCAACGCGUAUCGGCCCAUUGGCCUUCAUCAGGGUGUUGGUAACAAACAGACAGAAUCACGCAGUACUUAUAGUUGCAUUGGUUUCAGGUGUGCCACUCUGGCACUUGUAACACAAUUUUUUGGCCACUAGAGGCAAUAGUUCAGAUAAUGGCUAAUACCAAAGAUCAAACCAUACAAAUACAAGAUAAGGGAUCUCCAAGUGGAAGAAAAAAAAAAAAAAAAAACAGGAGAGAGUAACACCAAUACAAACAUCUUGUGUACUCCACACAAUUAUAUCCAUAAAGUCAAAUAAAUGUGUAGAGGCUAGUUACCCAUCUUACUUCUGGAUUCAUUGUCAAGAUAGUUCCAAAGCAACAGGAGAAAAAUAUGUUUAUGGGCAUUACAGUACAUUAAAAGAACAGUCAACAUUCACGGACAACAAUACACUG
rnacentral:lncRNA from 1 species